GAUGAACGCUAGCGGGAGGCUUAACACAUGCAAGUCGAGGGGCAGCAUAGGGUAGCAAUACUCUGAUGGCGACCGGCGCACGGGUGAGUAACGCGUAUGCAACCUAUCCUGUACUGGGGGAUAACCCGGAGAAAUUCGGACUAAUACCCCAUAAUGAUAUUGAGAGGCAUCUUUUAAUAUUUAAAGUUCCGGCGGUACGGGCUGGGCAUGCGUGACAUUAGCUAGUUGGUAGGGUAAUGGCCUACCAAGGCUGCGAUGUCUAGGGGUCCUGAGAGGGUGAUCCCCCACACUGGUACUGAGACACGGACCAGACUCCUACGGGAGGCAGCAGUGAGGAAUAUUGGUCAAUGGGCGCAAGCCUGAACCAGCCAUCCCGCGUGAAGGAAGAAGGCGCUAUGCGUUGUAAACUUCUUUUCCAGGGGAAGAAAACUUUCGAUGUAUCGGAACUUGCCGGUACCCUGGGAAUAAGCAUCGGCUAACUCCGUGCCAGCCGCCGCUGUAACAC
rnacentral:rRNA from 1 species